rnacentral:rRNA from 1 species
UUGAAAGGGAAACGAUUGAAGUCAGUCGUACCGACGAGAAAUCAACUUAUCGUGUGCGAACUUGUGGGCGUGCGUGAGUUUCGGCCUCGCUGUUUGCAUGUUUGUGCGCUUUGGGUGUACUUUUUCGUAUGGUAGGCCAACGUCAGUUUCGAUUAUCAUAAAAUGACCGGCGGAAUGUAGCUUCGACUUCGGUUGAAGUGUUAUAGCCUCUGGUAGAUGUGGUGAUUGGGACUGAGGAUUGCAACGAAUAUCCUUUGGGCUAUCCGUCUGGCCUCUGAAAGUUGCUCAGGUGCCGAAAGCGUGCUUACGGUCAUCUAAGAUAACGUUCAACAGGCUAGAACGUGAUUACAUUCGUUAAGGAUGUUGACGUA